rnacentral:misc_RNA from 1 species
UCGAAACACCCGGGUACCUGGGUCUCGGCCCGCUCCGGGAGACCGUGAGCGGCCGGGUCCGGACCCGUUCUCCACAUACCCCUGUGCACCUUUCUUAGGGAAGUGCCCCGGUCUACCUCCCGUCGGUGGGGGUGCGAAGGGCGUCCCUGCUUUCACAAACUCUCGUGUUUGUAACUGAAUCCGGGGACCAGUGCCCCGCAAAAAGCAUUGAA